UACGUAGGGAGCAAGCGUUGUCCGGAAUCAUUGGUCGUAAAGAGCGCGUAGGCGGUCCGGUAAGUCGGUUGUGAAAACUGGGGGCUCAACCCUCAGAGGCCGACCGAUACUGCCGGGCUAGAGUCCGGAAGAGGCGAGUGGAAUUCCUGGUGUAGCGGUGAAAUGCGCAGAUAUCAGGAAGAACACCCGUGGCGAAGGCGGAUCUCUGGGACGGUACUGACGCUGAGACGCGAAAGCGUGGGGAGCGAACAGG
rnacentral:rRNA from 1 species